rnacentral:misc_RNA from 1 species
GGACUACCGGGGUAUCUAAUCCCGUUUGCUACCCUAGCUUUCGCGCCUCAGCGUCAAGAACAGGCCAGGAAGUCGCCUUCGCCACUGGUGUUCCUCCCGAUAUCUACGCAUUUCACCACUACACCGGGAAUUCCACUCCCCUCUCCUGCCUUCGAGUCGAACAGUAUCGCGUGACCCUCCCCAGUUGAGCCGGGGGCUUUCACACGCGACUUGUACGACCGCCUGCGCGCUCUUUACGCCCAGUAAAUCCGGACAACGCUCGCCACCUACGUAUUACCGCGGCGGCUGGCAC